rnacentral:piRNA from 1 species
UGAUGAUCUAUGGGUCUGGCUUC